AGAAUGAGUAGCCACUGCACCUUGCCCUGGGCCAUCAGUGAGAAGAUCUGCUCUUAGUAGAGCCCUGCUUUCCCGCUGAAGGCCCUGAAAUCCCCUGUGUUCCAGGACACCCACUAAGGAUCAAUAAAGCUCCCCUGAUGUGGGGGAAUUAGCUCAAGUGGUAGAGCACUUGCUUAGCAUGCAAGAGGUAGUGGGAUCGAUGCCCACAUUCUCCAAACUUUAUUAUUUAGACCCUGGGUCUCCAAACACUCAGGUCUCCAAACACAAGUCAGAGAACAGGAUGCUGCUUUGGUUCAAGAUGUAGGAGCAGCAACAAUACAGGGCUGGUGACGGCUCCCUCCUGGCAUUCAGUAUAGUGUAGAUCUACCGUGUAAUUAAUUUUCUGCUUCUUUGAGGAGCUGUGAAACCAAGGGACAUAAACAAUUGCUCUUUUCUCCCUGUUUCUGCCUGUAGCUUGAAUGUGAGGCAACUGUGAAAAGUGCAGGGCAGAGCCACCUGGGUAAAUACAGCCCCGGCUUUCUGGUGAGAGGACUGAAACCAGGAUGUGUCAAGUAACUAGAAUGUGCCUGGACAGAUACUGUAGAAAGCAAACCCAUAAAGUUGUUCAUGAGCUUGUGGACGCACCUGCCAGCUGUGAAUAAGUGGCUCUAAUCCCAAACAACUUACCUAAAAAGAGCCUGAGGACUGAACUGAACAAUGGUCCACUUUCCAGUCCUCACUGACCACUGGUUGCACACACUCCAGAGAUCUCUCAUCCGCAGUGUCAAGGCUUUCAAAUAGAGUUAUCUGUGAAACAACAACACAUGGAAGUCUGGUUGGUACUUGGAGCUUAAAUACAAGGCAAUUGUGUGCCUGCAAAAACAAAAAUAGCAAUAUUAUCCUUAAGAUUUCAACAAGACACAGUGUCUCAUCACAUAAUCCAAAGAAGUCCAGGUUACAAGCCCCAAAAUAUUCAGCAUUAUGAAAAACCAGGGAGAUCUUAAUUCACAUGGCAAAGAGAAUCCUCGAAUAACAAUAUUGAGAGGACACAUAUGUCAAAAUCAUCUGACACAUACAUUAAAGCAGUUAUUAUAACAAUGCUCCUAGAAUUACGGGAUAGCAUUCAUGAAGUGAAUGGAAAGUUGGAAAGUCUCACCAAAUAUUUGGAAUAUGUAAACACCAAUUUAAACUUAAGAAUUAAAAAAAGUAUUAACCAAAACUAUUAGGGGAAAUAAAAAGCUUAAUUGGAUGAUCUCAAUAGCAGUAUGCAGAAGACUAAGGAAAAAGUCAAUGAACUUGAAAACGGAACAAGAAUACCUACAGAAUCUGACCUAUAGAAAGAAAGGAGGAUUUUAUUGUCCCUGAACAGAGGCUCAGGGACAAAUAAAAAAUAACAAAUCCAACAUUCACAUUAUUGUAAUCUGGAAACAUUCACAUUAUUGUAAGAGGACAAAGAGGUCUUUGUGGGAUAAAACUGAGAAGAAUUAAUGGCUGUAAAUAUAUCAAAUUUCUCAAAAGAUAUAAACCAGAUUUUUAAAGUUCAGUAAAUGUCAAGCAGGAUAAACCAAAAGAAACCCAUUGCAAGACAUAUCAUAAUCAAACUGCGGAAAAUUAAGAAAACACAAAACAAUUUUGAAAGCAGCCAAAGGGAAAUGAAAGAUAAAAUACCAAAUGAAUGAUUGUAGAUUUCUCAUCGGGAACCCAGGAGCCAGAAAAAAAUGUCAUAACAUUCAGUAAAUACCAAAGGAAAAAUACAUUAUCAACCCAGAAUGGUAUGUGGAGCAAAAGUAUCUUCCAGACAUAAAGGCAAAUAAAUACAUUCUCAUUGGAAGGUAAAUAAAUACAUUCUCAGUCCUAGCAAAACUGCUGGAAAAGAAUUAGCAAAGGUUUGAGAUGAGAAAAGUGAUACCAGAAGGAAACUUAGAACAUCAUCAAUGAAGGAACAAAAGCAGAAAUAGAAAAUGUCUGGGUAGACAUAACAGACUAUUAUUCUUCUCUUGAGUUCCUUAAGAGAAUGAGUAGCCACUGCUGUUUGCCCUGGCCCAUCAAUGAGAAGAUCUGCUCUUAGAGCCCUGCUUUCCUGCUGAAGGCCCUGAAAUCACCUGUGUUCCAGGCCACCCGCUAACAAUAAAUAAUGCUCCCCUGACGUGGGGAAUUAGCUCAAGUGGUAGAGCGCUUGCUUAGCAUGCAAGAGGUAGUGGGAUCGAUGCCCACAUUCUCCAAGCUUUAUUAUUUAGACAUCGUGUCUCCAAACACUCAGGUCUCCAAACCCAAGUUAGUGUCUGAGAACAGGAUGCUGCUUUGGUUCAAGACAUAGGAACAGCAACAAUACAGGGCUGGUGAUGGCUCCCUCCUGGCAUUCAGUAUAGUGUAGAUCUACCAUGUAAUUAAUUCUCUGUCUCUUUGAGGAGCUGUGAAACCAAGGGACAUAUACAACUGCUCUUUUCUCCCUGUUUCUACCUGCAGCUUUGUCCUAAAUGUGAGACAAUUAUGAAAAGUGCAGGGCAGAGCCACUUGGGUAAAUACAGCCCCGGCUUUCUGCUCAGGGGACAGAGUUUGAGGCACUGCAGAGGAACCAGCCAAAGUAUGAGACCCAUAUGUUGAGAGUGACAGAGUGUAAAGUUCAAAAAAAUCAAAAUAUUUAAAGAUUUAUCAUGGGUCUUGAUGACAUGAUGGAAUCUCUCUACUCUCUGGACUUAUUAUGUGUGGUAAUAAAUUUACUUUUUAAAAGCCA